rnacentral:rRNA from 1 species
CCUUAGGUCCCGAGCGUUGUCCGGAUUUAUUGGGCGUAAAGCGAGCGCAGGCGGUUAGAUAAGUCUGAAGUUAAAGGCUGUGGCUUAACCAUAGUACGCUUUGGAAACUGUUUAACUUGAGUGCAAGAGGGGAGAGUGGAAUUCCAUGUGAAGCGGUGAAAUGCGUAGAUAUAUGGAGGGAGACCGGAGAGGAGAGCGGCCAAAUGGCUUGUAACUGACGCUGAGGCUGGAAAGCGUGGGGAGCAAACAG